rnacentral:misc_RNA from 1 species
GGAAUAUUGCACAAUGGGCGCAAGCCUGAUGCAGCCAUGCCGCGUGUAUGAAGAAGGCCUUCGGGUUGUAAAGUACUUUCAGCGGGGAGGAAGGGAGUAAAGUUAAUACCUUUGCUCAUUGACGUUACCCGCAGAAGAAGCACCGGCUAACUCCGUGCCAGCAGCCGCGGUAAUACGGGGGGUGCAAGCGUUAAUCGGAAUUACUGGGCGUAAAGCGCACGCAGGCGGUCUGUCAAGUCGGAUGUGAAAUCCCCGGGCUCAACCUGGGAACUGCAUUCGAAACUGGCAGGCUAGAGUCUUGUAGAGGGGGGUAGAAUUCCAGGUGUAGCGGUGAAAUGCGUAGAGAUCUGGAGGAAUACCGGUGGCGAAGGCGGCCCCCUGGACAAAGACUGACGCUCAGGUGCGAAAGCGUGGGGAGCAAACAGGA